rnacentral:rRNA from 1 species
GAUGAACGCUGGCGGCGGGCCUAACACAUGCAAGUCGAGCGGAAGGCGGAAGCGUGAGCUUGGAUUCAGCGGGGGGCGGGCGAGUGAUGGCCAGGUAUCUAACAGGUAGGGGGGGAUAACGUCCGGGGGGGGGAGCAGAUAGAGAACACGGCCAGAGGGGGAAAAGGGGGGAUCGUCGGACCGCACGGGGUGAGAUGAGCCAAGGCCGGAUUAGCGAGCUGGUGGGGUAAAGGCCUACCAAGGCGACGAUCCGUAACUGGUCUGAGAGGAUGAUCAGUCACACUGGAACUGAGACACGGUCCAGACUCCUACGGGAGGCAGCAGUGGGGAAUAUUGGACAAUGGGCGAAAGCCUGAUCCAGCCAUGCCGCGUGUGUGAAGAAGGUCUUCGGAUUGUAAAGCACUUUAAGUUGGGAGGAAGGGCAGUAAGUUAAUCCCUUGCUGUUUUGACGUUACCAACAUAAUAAGCCCCGGCUAACUUCGUG